CAGUCGAACGGAACUGUUUUGAAAGAUUUCUUCGGAAUGAAUUUGAUUUACUUUAGUGGCGGACGGGUGAGUAACGCGUGAGUAACCUGCCUUCAAGAGGGGGAUAACAUUCUGAAAAGAAUGCUAAUACCGCAUGACAUAUCGGAACCACAUGGUUUUGAUAUCAAAGAUUUUAUCGCUUGAAGAUGGACUCGCGUCCGAUUAGUUAGUUGGUGAGGUAACGGCUCACCAAGACCGCGAUCGGUAGCCGGACUGAGAGGUUGAACGGCCACAUUGGGACUGAGACACGGCCCAGACUCCUACGGGAGGCAGCAGUGGGGGAUAUUGCGCAAUGGGGGCAACCCUGACGCAGCAACGCCGCGUGAAGGAUGAAGGUUUUCGGAUUGUAAACUUCUUUUAUUAAGGACGAAGAAUGACGGUACUUAAUGAAUAAGCUCCGGCUAACUACGUGCCAGCAGCCGCGGUAAUACGUAGGGAGCAAGCGUUGUCCGGAUUUACUGGGUGUAAAGGGUGCGUAGGCGGCUUUGCAAGUCAGAUGUGAAAUCUAUGGGCUCAACCCAUAAACUGCAUUUGAAACUGUAGAGCUUGAGUGAAGUAGAGGCAGGCGGAAUUCCCCGUGUAGCGGUGAAAUGCGUAGAGAUGGGGAGGGACACCAGUGGCGAAGGCGGCCUGCUGGGCUUUAACUGACGCUGAGGCACGAAAGCGUGGGUAGCAAACAGGAUUAGAUACCCUGGUAGUCCACGCUG
rnacentral:rRNA from 1 species